AUGUUGGCUUAGAAGCAGCCACACAUUCAAAGAGUGCGUAAUAGCUCACUGGUCAAGUGAUUGUGCGCCGAAGAUGUAACGGGGCUAAACACACCACCGAAGCUUCGGGUUGCAGCAAUGCAGCGGUAGAGGAGCAUAGUGCACUGGCAGAAGCAUGACCGGAAGGACGUGUGGACGGUGCAGUAGAGAGAAUGCCGGUAUGAGUAACGAGAUGCAGGCGAGAAACCUGCACGUCGAAAGCCCAAGGUUUCCUGGGGAAGGUUCAUCCGCCCAGGGUAAGUCGGGGCCUAAGCCGAGGACAAAAGUCGUAGGCGAUGGAGAACAGGUAGAGAUUCCUGUACCGCCGAUGGAAGUGAAGCACUGACACAGAAGGAUAGCAUGAGCCGGUUGAUGGUAGAACCGGUUUAAGCGGUUAGGGUGAGAGAUAGUGAAGUACGUCUCUUAAGAGCCUGAGCCGUGAUGGGGACCGAAAUUCGAGUAGGGAAGCAUGUGAAUCCCCGCUGGCAAGAAAAGGUGCUAACGUAUUUCAUAGGCGCCCGUACCGGAAACCGACGCAGGUGGGCGAGGAGAGAAUCCUAAGACGAACGGGAGAACCCUUGUUAAGGAACUCGGCAAAAUGACCCCGUAACUUCGGGAGAAGGGGUGCCUCGAAAGAGGCCGCAGAGAAAAGGCCCAAGCGACUGUUUAGCAAAAACACAGGUGUUUGCGAAAGCGAGAGCUGACGUAUAAGCGCUGACGCCUGCCCGGUGCUGGAAGGUUAAGAGGAGCUGUCAGGCAACGAAGCAGCGAAUUGAAGCCCCAGUAAACGGCGGCCGUAACUAUAACGGUCCUAAGGUAGCGAAAUUCCUUGUCGGGUAAGUUCCGACCCGCACGAAUGGCGUAACGACUUGUGAGCUGUCUCAACAGGAGGCCCGGUGAAAUUGAAGUAUGUGUGAAGAUGCACAUUACCCGCGACUGGACGGAAAGACCCCGUAGAGCUUUACUGUAACCUGACAUUGGAUCUUGAUAACGGAUGCACAGGAUAGGUGGGACGCUGGGAGGUAUGGACUUUGGUCUGUACGGAGCGGACGUUGGGAUACCACUCUUCUGUUAUUGAGAUUCUAACCUCAAGCCGUAAGCCGGAUGAGAGACAGUGUCAGGCGGACAGUUUGACUGGGGCGGUCGCCUCCGAAAGAGUAACGGAGGCGCCCAAAGGUACCCUCAGAAUGGAUGGAAACCAUUCGAAGAGAGCAAAGUCAGAAGGGUGCUUGACUGCGAGACCAACAAGUCGAGCAGGUACGAAAGUAGGGCUUAGUGAUCCGGCGGUAAGAGAGUGGAAUUGCCGUCGCUCAACGGAUAAAAGCUACCUCGGGGAUAACAGGCUGAUCUCCCCCAAGAGUCCACAUCGACGGGGAGGUUUGGCACCUCGAUGUCGGCUCAUCGCAUCCUGGGGCUGUAUUCGGUCCCAAGGGUUUGGCUGUUCGCCAAUUAAAGCGGCACGCGAGCUGGGUUCAGAACGUCGUGAGACAGUUCGGUCCCUAUCCAUCGUGGGCGAAGGACACAUGAGAGGAGCUGCUCCUAGUACGAGAGGACCGGAGUGGACGCAUCACUGGUGCAACUGUUGUCGUGCCAACGGCACAGCAGGGAAGCGAAAUGCGGAUGGGAUAAACGCUGAAGGCAUCUAAGCGUGAAGCCCACCUCAAGAAUAAGUGU
rnacentral:rRNA from 1 species